rnacentral:rRNA from 1 species
UGAAGAAGGCCUUCGGGUUGUAAAGCUCUUUCGGCCGGGACGAAAUCGCUCUCGUUAACACCGGGGGUGGAUGACGGUACCGGAAGAAGAAGGACCGGCUAACUACGUGC